ACCCGCUGAACUUAAGCAUAUCAAUAAGCGGAGGAAAAGAAAAUAACAAUGAUUUCCCUAGUAACGGCGAGUGAAGAGGAAAGAGCUCAAAGUUGGAAACUGUUUGGCUUAGCUAAACCGUAUUGUAAACUGUAGAAACAUUUUCCUGGCACACCAGAUUAAUAAGUCCUUUGGAACAAGGCAUCAUGGAGGGUGAGAAUCCCGUCUUUGAUCUGAGUAGUUGUCUUUUGUGAUAUGUUUUCAAAGAGUCAGGUUGUUUGGGAAUGCAGCCUAAAUUGGGUGGUAAAUCUCACCUAAAGCUAAAUAUUUGCGAGAGACCGAUAGCGAACAAGUACCGUGAGGGAAAGAUGAAAAGAACUUUGAAAAGAGAGUUAAACAGUAUGUGAAAUUGUUAAAAGGGAACCGUUUGGAGCCAGACUGGUUUGACUGUAAUCAACCUAGAAUUCGUUUUGGGUGCACUUGCAGUCUAUACCUGCCAACAACAGUUUGAUUUGGAGGACAAAAUUAAUAGGAAUGUAGCCUCUCGAGGUGUUAUAGACUAUUAUCAUACUCUGGAUUGGACUGAGGAACGCAGCGAAUGCCUUUAGGCAAGAUUGCUGGGUGCUUUCGCUAAUAAAUGUUAGAAUUUCUGCUUCGGGUGGUGCUAAUGUUUAAAGGAGGAACACAUCUAGUAUAUUUUUUAUUCGCUUAGGUUGUUGGCUUAAUGACUCUAAAUGACCCGUCUUGAAACACGGACCAAGGAGUCCACCAUAAGUGCAAGUAUUUGAGUGACAAACUCAUAUGCGUAAGGAAACUGAUUGAUACGAAGUCUUACGAUGGCAGUAUCACCCGGCGUUGACGUUUUAUACUGAACUGACCGAGGUAAAGCACUUAUGAUGGGACCCGAAAGAUGGUGAACUAUGCCUGAAUAGGGUGAAGCCAGAGGAAACUCUGGUGGAGGCUCGUAGCGAUUCUGACGUGCAAAUCGAUCGUCAAAUUUGGGUA
rnacentral:rRNA from 1 species